ACAAACUUGGUCAUUUAGAGGAAGUAAAAGUCGUAACAAGGUUUCCGUAGGUGAACCUGCGGAAGGAUCAUUAUUGUAUUCACCUGCGAUGCUGUUGCUGGCUCCUUGUGGGCAUGUGCACGCUUCGUAAGUUAAUUUCAACCACCUGUGAACCUUUUGUAGUCUUGGGUGACGCUAUAAAUCAAAGGAAACUUUGGAUUUGAAUGCUGCUGGCUUGUAAAAAGGUCAACUUCAUUCUACAGCAGAGCCCGGGUACUAUGCUUUACACACCCCAUUGUAUGUCACAGAAUGUAAUUCAAGGGCUUCAAUGCCUUUAAACUUAAUACAACUUUCAGCAACGGAUCUCUUGGCUCUCGCAUCGAUGAAGAACGCAGC
rnacentral:misc_RNA from 1 species